UGAUUCUCCUUUCCAUUCACUUUGUCGCAUUGGCCUCGACAACGAAAUGCGACAAAAAUUAGAUGUGCAAACAUUUUAAUGUGAAUUCAUAUACGACUGUUCAGUACAAAUGUAUGUAUAAGAGCUCUGUUAAUAUGAAAUUAAUGAAAACAGUGGUUGGUGGGGUUAUAAGCUCCUCUUACAAGGCUUAGCAAAUAUUUGAAGUAAUAGAAGAUGUUGUGGAAGUAGUUUCAGUUAACCGAAGACGUUUGUUGUUACCGUGACGCUAUGUAUCAUUUGUUUAAGCCCAAAAAUAGUCUUACUUUGUUGUGAGUAAGAGCGCGCCACUAUAAGAUACGAAAUAAAACAGAACUAAAGAGAUAUAAAUAACUGCAAUGCGCGACCGCAUAAGCGACGAUACAUGUCUCGAAACGAGUUGGCUUCAUUUAUCAAUGCCACAUCACACAUACGCGCCCACAUAGUUACCUGUAUAUGUGUGAGUAUUUCAACACAACUAUAAGAGUACUUACGAAAGUAGUGAAAGGUGAAAAAAGAGCAAUAAAUUUGUAGUGCCGAGAAUUUCAAGGGAAGCAGCUGAUCAUCACUCUUACUAAUAUGUUUGCAUUGCUAAUCCACAGAAAGGUAAAACUUCAAUGAAAACAUUUUAUCCUGAUCUAAAAUCGACAACCGCUCCAAUAUCAUAUAAAGAAAAAAAUUCUGUACCUGUGUUGGAAAAUCAACUACUCGCUCAGAACAGCCAUCCAUCACAUAGUUCAUCUGUAUCCAUGCGUUCCCGUGCGCAGAAAUGCUGUGGACCGGUGUAAUCAGCCAAGCAAUUGAAGCAGAGCGG